UACGGGGGGGGCAAGCGUUGUUCGGAAUUACUGGGCGUAAAGGGCUCGUAGGUGGCCAACUAAGUCAGACGUGAAAUCCCUCGGCUUAACCGGGGAACUGCAUCUGAUACUGGAUGGCUUGAGUUUGGGAGAGGGAUGCGGAAUUCCAGGUGUAGCGGUGAAAUGCGUAGAUAUCUGGAGGAACACCGGUGGCGAAGGCGGCAUCCUGGACCAACACUGACAC
rnacentral:rRNA from 1 species